AGCGAACGCUGGCGGCAGGCUUAACACAUGCAAGUCGAGCGGGCAUCCUUGUGGUGUCAGCGGCAGACGGGUGAGUAACGCGUGGGAACGUGCCCUUCGGUUCGGAAUAACUCAGGGAAACUUGAGCUAAUACCGGAUACGUGCGAGAGCAGAAAGGUUUAUCUGCCGAAGGAUCGGCCCGCGUCUGAUUAGCUAGUUGGUGAGGUUAUGGCUCACCAAGGCGACGAUCAGUAGCUGGUCUGAGAGGAUGAUCAGCCACACUGGGACUGAGACACGGCCCAGACUCCUACGGGAGGAAGCAGUGGGGAAUAUUGGACAAUGGGGGCAACCCUGAUCCAGCCAGGCCGCGUGAGUGAUGACGGACGUAGGGUUGUAAAGCUCUUUUCUUCGGGACGAUAAUGACGGUACCGGAGGAAUAAGCCCCGGCUAACUUCGUG
rnacentral:rRNA from 1 species